CAGAGACUUAGAUGUGACCUAAAAAUACAGUAUUUCCUGUAAGAGGCACUUUUAUUCUACAACUUUGCUGAGCUGAUUUUGAUGUUUACCUCAGCGUGAGAUGAACUUUACAUACGAGGCCUUUUUCGUCAGAUCAUGGCCUUGGGUAGAAGUACUGGAGGCACUGAGCUGCUAGGGUGGCAUGUCUAACUAGAAUUACAUUGAAGGCACAUGAUUGCAGUAAUUCUGUCAGGCUGCCAGAAAAGUUAA
rnacentral:lncRNA from 1 species